UACGUAGGGUGCAAGCGUUAAUCGGAAUUACUGGGCGUAAAGCGUGCGCAGGCGGUUUUGUAAGUCUGUCGUGAAAUCCCCGGGCUUAACCUGGGAAUUGCGUUGGAGACUGCAAGGCUAGAGUUUGGCAGAGGGGGGUAGAAUUCCACGUGUAGCAGUGAAAUGCGUAGAGAUGUGGAGGAACACCGAUGGCGAAGGCAGCCCCCUGGGUCAAAACUGACGCUCAUGCACGAAAGCGUGGGGAGCAAACAGG
rnacentral:rRNA from 1 species